AAUAAGUGUAGUUUUACACUAUUCAUAUUCAGCGUUUGACCGUUUGUUUUAUUAGAUUUUUUUAUGAUUAGUAUUUUUGUUGUUAGUAGAUGAUAAAACAUGAGAAGUACUUUAUGCUGACUAAUUGUUUUUAAUUUUUUCAUAAAAUUUUUAAAUAAGACAGACGAUUAAACGUUGUACACGGAUACCUAUGGUUGUACUCUCU
rfam:Oryza glumipatula chromosome 2, whole genome shotgun sequence.